UGGUUUCCGUUUGCUGUUCUUUAGUUGC
rnacentral:sRNA from 1 species